rnacentral:rRNA from 1 species
CGUCAACGAGCGCUCCCCUAUUGCUAGUUGCAUCACAUAAUGGUGGGCACUCUAGUGAGACUGCCCGGGUCAACCGGGAGGAAGGUGGGGACGACGUCAAGUCAUCAUGGCCCUUACGUCCAGGGCUACACACGUACUACAAUGGUGGAUACAGAGGGUCGCGAAGCCGCGAGGUCGAGCCAAUCCCAGAAAAUCCAUCCCAGUCCGGAUCGCAGUCUGCAACUCGACUGUGUGAAGUUGGAAUCGCUAGUAAUCCCAGAUCAGCAUGCUGGGGUGAAUACGUUCCCGGGCCUUGUACACACCGCCCGUCACACCACGAAAGCUGGUUCUACCCAAAAUCGACGGACUAACCUUCGGGAGGUAGUCGCCUACGGUAGGGCUGGUAAUUGGGGUGAAGUCGUACAAGGU